AAUCAACGCUGGCGGCGUGCCUCAGACAUGCAAGUCGAACGAUUAAAGCUCUCUUCGGAGAGUGCAUAGAGUGGCGCACGGGUGAGUAACACGUAAGUAAUCUACCUUCGAGUGGGGAAUAACGUCCGGAAACGGACGCUAAUACCGCAUAAUGCAGCGGCAUCGUAAGAUGACAGUUGUUAAAGAUUUAUCGCUUGAAGAGGAGCUUGCGGCAGAUUAGCUAGUUGGUAAGGUAAUGGCUUACCAAGGCUACGAUCUGUAACCGGUCUUAGAGGACGGUCGGUCACACUGACACUGAAUAACGGGUCAGACUCCUACGGGAGGCAGCAGUCGGGAAUUUUGGGCAAUGGGCGAAAGCCUGACCCAGCAACGCCGCGUGAAGGAUGAAGUAUUUCGGUAUGUAAACUUCGAAAGAAUAGGAAGAAUAAAUGACGGUACUAUGUAUAAGGUCCGGCUAACUACGUGCCAGCAGCCGCGGUAAU
rnacentral:rRNA from 1 species